CCUGUGAUAGCUCAGCUGGUAGAGCAGAGGACUGUAGAUCCUUAGGUCGCUGGUUCAACUCCAGUUUGAAGGA